rnacentral:rRNA from 1 species
UACGAAGGGGCUAGCGUUGCUCGGAAUCACUGGGCGUAAAGGGUGCGUAGGCGGGUCUUUUAAGUCAGGGGUGAAAUCCUGGAGCUCAACUCCAGAACUGCCUUUGAUACUGAAGAUCUUGAGUUCGGGAGAGGUGAGUGGAACUGCGAGUGUAGAGGUGAAAUUCGUAGAUAUUCGCAAGAACACCAGUGGCGAAGGCGGCUCACUGGCCCGAUACUGACGCUGAGGCACGAAAGCGUGGGGAGCAACGGG